AAAAAAUAACUGAGUUGUUUGGUGGUGGAGCUACAACAGAGGGCAGCUAUCCACCGGUGUGUGACAGAAAGGACAUGCCGCCAACGAGACAUACGAGGCCGGGCAGGCGAUUGCUAACGCGGUGGUCAAUCAUGGAUCAGGGAAAGCGAAGGCAGGAGCGUGAGGUGAACUGAAUUUCAGGGGCUCGGCUGUGAUUGGUGGACCUAAUGACCGGCCUGAUGUGACUGGUUCCUGCGGUGGCCGUGAGCUACAAAAGGGCGACUGAAGAGCUGCGCUGGUUGGGAUGUGUGGCAGACUUCCCAUGCACCUGCCUCUGGUCCAGACGGCGCGGCUGCAGCUACAGUCUUUUAGCAUAAAGUCGGGCAUGUGUGUGAGGUGCGGAGUAAGUAGGGGUGAGCUGCCGAUUAUUUUGAGAUGCCUUCUUUUCUCCUGUGGUUUUUAGACCAGAGAGGUCAGUCUGUGUUAUUUCUUUGUUUUCUUUUCCGUGGAUAGGUUAGAGGGGAACCGAAGCAUAGGUUGAGUUUUGUUUAUUGUUUUGGCCUUGGCUCACUCCGAAGUAUAUACUCCCCCAUUGUGCCAUUAGUGUAAAUAAAUUAUUGUUAAGAAUCAAACGCUGUGGCUGUGUCUGUUUGACAUCCUGCGCAUCGUUACGGUCAUUACGAGCCGGGUCGUAACAGCGUGUUCAUGCAAACAUUGUUGGGUCUGCCGUGGUAAAUGGGACAUCUGCUCAUGAACCUCUGUGCACAGCGUCUGCAAAUCGGGGCUGUACGAAGUAACUUCAUCUUUACACAAAACUGUAAGCUGUCAUCUGUGAGGCGCGAGCGGUGUUUGUUUUUACCAUAGUUCAUGGUGGAGAAUGGCUGCUCUGCUGAGUUUUGCUCUCUGUAGCCGUAUGAAUGGCAAACUACAGUGAUUAGCAGCGGCAUAGGCACACUUAAAAUUUCUUCUGAAAUUUUCGCUUUCUAGUUAUCAUU
ensembl:lncRNA